rnacentral:lncRNA from 10 species
CCGGGGAGAAGGUGGUGAAUGGAGACGUAGCCCCUGACCUCUUGGAAUGCACUGCCUAGGGGACGGGAUGAACACGCACGCAAGCAAUGCCCCCUCUAGGUGCCGGGAAAACCAUGGUGAGGAAAAGCAGACCCAUUGUGUGCUGCGAGUGCCGAUGAUGGGGGAGACGAACAAGAACUAAAUGAUCAAUGACACAAGGCCAUCUUCCUUCCUGUAUGAUUCCAUCUCUGCUUGCUAGAA